rnacentral:rRNA from 1 species
ACUUUCAGUGGGGAGGCAAGUUGUACUUGUUAAUACCAAGUAUUAUUGACGUUACCCACAGAAGAAGCACCGGCUAACUCUGUGCCAGCAGCCGCGGUAAUACAGAGGGUGCAAGCGUUAAUCGGAAUGACUGGGCGUAAAGCGUGCGUAGGUGGUUAGAUAAGUUAGAUGUGAAAUCCCCGGGCUUAACCUGGGAACUGCGUUUAAGACUGUUUAACUAGAGUACUGUAGAGGGUAGUGGAAUUUCCAGUGUAGCGGUGAAAUGCGUAGAUAUUGGAAGGAACACCAGUGGCGAAGGCGACUACCUGGAUAGAUACUGACACUGAGGCACGAAAGCGUGGGGAGCAAACAGGAUUAGAUACCCAGGUAGUCCAUGCUGUAAACUAUGAGAACUUGCUGUUGGAUGCAUAAAGGCAUUUAGUAGCGAAGCUAACGCGUUAAGUUCUCCGCCUGGGGAG